CAGUCGCCACGGUAAUACGUAGGUCCCGAGCGUUGUCCGGAUUUAUUGGGCGUAAAGCGAGCGCAGGCGGUUAGAUAAGUCUGAAGUUAAAGGCUGUGGCUUAACCAUAGUACGCUUUGGAAACUGUUUAACUUGAGUGCAAGAGGGGAGAGUGGAAUUCCAUGUGUAGCGGUGAAAUGCGUAGAUAUAUGGAGGAACACCGGUGGCGAAAGCGGCUCUCUGGCUUGUAACUGACGCUGAGGCUCGAAAGCGUGGGGAGCAAACAGGAUUAGAUACCCGCGUAGUCCCUGUCUCUUAUAAC
rnacentral:rRNA from 1 species